rnacentral:lncRNA from 1 species
GAUAGACCGACGUACAGAUUGCUUCUUUCGAGAUAGAUGAGUCUCAAGUCUACAGUGUAAAGACACAAGACGAUAAGUAUGGAUAGUUGUUAGAGAAUAACUAGUACUGAGCGUGACCAUACGAGAGAUCAUUUGGAUUUCUAUUCGAUCGUAAGUGAUUGUCUCGAUAUUACAGUUGUAUGAAUAGUUCUUUGAUCUAAGAUGGUACUA